GCCCUAAUGGGCUGAGGAAUAAUUAUUUUGUUGUUGCCGGCUGCGGCAUUUCUCCUCCUCCCGCCUGCGCUUGGAUUGGCGCCGCCCCUUUUCCUCUCUAAUCUGCCGCGCUCUCUCUCUCUCUCUCUCUGAAUCUGACAUCCCCUCCUCUUUCCUCUCUUUGGCUGCUGCUGCUGCUGCUGCUGCUGCUGCUGUCGCAGUCCCUCUUCGCCUCUCUUUCCAACCAAGUCUGGACUGCUGUUGAGGCUUGGUUUGCUGCCCAGCAAAUUCACAAGUUGCGCCACUUCGCUCAACUUUCUUGGAUUCAGGAUGGAUAUUGCCUGUUGCCAAUUAGAUGGAAAUGCUGACGCUGUUGAGUUCUGCCCACAUAGUCCUUUUCAUCACAUUCUGGCUGCGGCAACAUAUACGCUACAAGAGGGCACGCAACCACAUCGAACCGGAAGCAUCUCGCUUUUCGAUACGAAUGCUGAAACAGGGCUUGGAUUAGUCCAUCGAGUACAGACAGCUGGUGUUUUUGACAUCAAGUGGAACCCGAGUGGAGGAAGCAGUUAUCCAUUACUUGCUCAAGCUGACGCAGAUGGAUGCGUAGUUCUUCGUGCUUUACAAUCAAAUCAAGGGGCGGAAGACCAAGGAAUUUUCUUGAGAGACAUUUGUACAGAAAAGAUCAGCUCGGCAAUGUGCUUAUGUGUAGACUGGGAACCAGUGGCAGAAUCUAUUUCUGUUGGUCUUUCAGAUGGUUCAAUAUCUGUGAUCUCUCUCAGGGAAUCCCAGUUGCAUGUAUUACAAUCCUGGCUCGCUCAUGAAUUCGAGCUAUGGGCUACAUCCUUUGAUAUCUUCCACCAGCACUUAUUAUACGCCGGUUCAGAUGACUGUCAUUUCAGCUGUUGGGAUUUGCGUCAGAAUCCAUCCAGCUUAGUGUUUCAGAAUGCAAAGUCCCACAAGAUGGGCGUUUGUUGCAUCACUCAGAGUCCUUUGGAUCAGAAUAUUCUACUGACAGGAAGCUAUGAUGAAUUCCUCAGAGUGUGGGACAUAAGAUCAACGACAAAACCUGUAAAUGAAAAAUCUAUUCACUUGGGGGGAGGGGUUUGGAGAAUUAAACACCAUCCAUAUAUUUCUGGUUUGGUACUGGCGGCAUGCAUGCAUGGUGGUUUUGCUGUUGUGAAGAUCGGAGAGGGAGAUGUUAGUUUACUUGAAACAUAUAGCAAACACGAAUCAUUAGCAUAUGGAGCUGAUUGGCAGAAAGGAGGGUGCUUGGAUAAUCAGAGUUCCAAGACUUUAGUAGCUGCUACUUGUUCAUUUUACGAUCGCCUUCUCCGGAUUUGGCAGCCAAAAACCCUGAUAUGUUGAAUGAUUUUGUGCUGUAACUUGACAACUUUUCUUGAUGAGAUGGAAUACACUCUUGGCUCAUGAAGAUAUUCUUCCACUUCAGGUUAAUUAUUCUGUAAUUGUUGUGCGGAAGUGCAGUUGUUACUAGGAUAAUAAUGAAGUUGACAAACACUCUAUAGGAUAAUUUUGUUUCGCAUAUUUCUAGCCUUUGGUAGUGGAAGCCACAACAGCCAACUUUGGGUUAGUAAUAGGUAACUUUUGUUAAAAGAAAAGGUUUGGCUUCAAGAUAUCUUCCACUUCAACUUGCAUCAGCUAGCUUUGAGCAUCAUAAACCAUUAUCUUUGCAUCAGAAGGACCGGAUGGACUGAUUUUGAUGGCCCCUUGGAGAUUAUCAUCGACUAUCAAGGCCGUAAUUGGGUUUGACCAAGGCGAAGGGAGGGGAUAAUUGGGAUAGAUGUCAUUGGAGAGGCGAAGAAAUCUAAGCAUAAGCAAGUGAUGUACACAUGCAACUGAUAGUAGAAACUCGAUAUCAUCUAGAAAUGCAACUGAUUGAAGAAAAUAUUAUUUAGAAAAGCAGGGCUGAGAAAAAGAAGAGCUCUGCUGUGUUACUGAAGAGUUCUUUGAGUUCUGCGUCCGGCUGCUGGUGGGUCGGUGGCUACUUACGUCGUAUCUACAUACCUUGUAGAUGAGUGUAAAUGCAUUGCAUGGUUAAGUUUAAUAGUUGCUGUUUGCAAAAAUGAGGAAACUUAGGGGGAGAGUUUGCUAAACCAUGGAAUUUAAUUCAGAGAAUUAUGUAAAAGUAAAAAUAUAUAGAAAUAGGAGAAUACGAAAUUGAA